rnacentral:miRNA from 1 species
UAGGAGUCAUGACGUAGCUUG